rnacentral:rRNA from 1 species
UUGCACGCUGGCGGCAUGCUUUACACAUGCAAGUCGAACGGUAACAGGCCGCAAGGUGCUGACGAGUGGCGAACGGGUGAGUAAUGCAUCGGAACGUGCCCAGCCGUGGGGGAUAACUACUCGAAAGAGUAGCUAAUACCGCAUACGAUCUAUGGAUGAAAGCGGGGGACCGUAAGGCCUCGCGCGAUUGGAGCGGCCGAUGUCAGAUUAGGUAGUUGGUGGGGUAAAGGCUCACCAAGCCAACGAUCUGUAGCUGGUCUGAGAGGACGACCAGCCACACUGGGACUGAGACACGGCCCAGACUCCUACGGGAGGCAGCAGUGGGGAAUUUUGGACAAUGGGCGCAAGCCUGAUCCAGCAAUGCCGCGUGCAGGAAGAAGGCCUUCGGGUUGUAAACUGCUUUUGUACGGAACGAAACGGCUCUGGUUAAUACCCGGGGCUAAUGACGGUACCGUAAGAAUAAGCACCGGCUAACUACGUG